CUGCUGCCUUCCGUAGGAGUUUGGGCUUUGUCUCAGUCCCAAUGUGGCCGUCCACCCUCUCAGGCCGGCUACUGAUCGCUGCCUUGGUGGGCCGUUACCCCGCCAACUAGCUAAUCAGACGCGGAUCCAUCGUAUACCACCGGAGUUUUUCACACUGCCCCAUGCGGAGCCGUGCGCUUAUGCGGUAUUAGCACCUAUUUCUAAGUGUUAUCCCCCGGUAUACGGCAGGUUAUCCACGCGUUACUCACCCGUCCGCCA
rnacentral:rRNA from 1 species